GCACAAGCGGAGGAACAUGUGGUUUAAUUCGAUGAUACGCGAGGAACCUUACCUGGGCUUAAAUGGGGAGUGACAGCUGUCGAAAGAUGGUUUUCUUCGGACACUCUUCAAGGUGCUGCAUGGUUGUCGUCAGCUCGUGCCGUGAGGUGUCGGGUUAAGUCCCAUAACGAGCGCAACCCUUACCGUUAGUUACCAUCAGGUUAAGCUGGGGACUCUAGCGGGACUGCCACCGUAAGGUGAGAGGAAGGUGGGGAUGACGUCAAAUCAGCACGGCCCUUAUGUCCAGGGCUACACACGUGUUACAAUGGCCAGUACAAAGGGCAGCUACCGGGUGACCGGAUGCUAAUCUCUAAAGCUGGUCUCAGUUCGGAUCGAAGUCUGCAACCCGACUUCGUGAAGCUGGAUUCGCUAGUAAUCGCGCAUCAGCCAUGGCGCGGUGAAUACGUUCCCGGGCCUU
rnacentral:rRNA from 1 species